rnacentral:rRNA from 1 species
UACAGAGGUCCCAAGCGUUGUUCGGAUUCACUGGGCGUAAAGGGUGCGUAGGCGGUCGGGUAAGUCUGACGUGAAAUCUCCAAGCUCAACUUGGAAAUGGCGUCGGAUACUAUUCGGCUGGAGGAAUGGAGGGGAGACUGGAAUUCUCGGUGUAGCAGUGAAAUGCGUAGAUAUCGAGAGGAACACCAGUGGCGAAGGCGAGUCUCUGGACAUUUCCUGACGCUGAGGCACGAAGGCCAGGGGAGCAAACGGG